rnacentral:rRNA from 1 species
GCUGUUGCUGACCUUCAAAGGUCGUGUCGCUGGCCUCUCGGGGCAUGUGCACGCCUGUCUUGACUUUAUUCAUCCACCUGUGCACCUAGUGUAGUCUUUGCUUUUGAGGGUAAUGGGAAAGCAACUUCUGCUCGGUUGUUAAAGACCGGAUUUGAGGAUUGCCUCUGUGCUCUUCUCUGCUUUACGGAAGUUGUGGAACCGCUGCCUUUGAAACUCAGGCUAUGUCUUUUAUCACAAACCAUGUAGUAUGUUGCCAGAAUGUAUUCAAUGGGCCUCUGUGCCUAUAAAACCAUAUACAACUUUCAGCAACGGAUCUCUUGGCUCUCGCAUCGAUGAAGAACGCAGCGAAAUGCGAUAAGUAAUGUGAAUUGCAGAAUUCAGUGAAUCAUCGAAUCUUUGAACGCACCUUGCGCUCCUUGGUAUUCCGAGGAGCAUGCCUGUUUGAGUGUCAGUAAAUUCUCAACCCCUUCAGCUUUUUUGUUGAAGGUGGCUUGGAUGUGGAGGUCCUGCGGGCCCAGUAUUGGGUCGGCUCCUCUAAAAUGCAUUAGCGGAACCGUUUGCGAUCCGUCACAGGUGUGAUAAUUAUCUACGCCAGUGGGUUGCUCUCUUGAGUUCAGCUGCCAACCGUCCUGCAAAGGACAAGCUAUUACUGAACCUUUGACCUCAAAUCAGGUAGGACUACCCGCUGAACUUAAGCAUAUCAUA